AAGUCGUAACAAGGUUUCCGUAGGUGAACCUGCGGAAGGAUCAUUAACACGUAUCCACGUUUAUCACCCGAGAAUUAUCUUAGGAUUAAACUUAUUGACCUCGAGAUGUUGAGCUUGGCUUGGUUCUG
rnacentral:misc_RNA from 1 species